AGCGAACGUUAGCGGCGGGCCUAACACAUGCAAGUCGAACGAGAAUGAGGGGGCAACUCCUCUAGUAAAGUGGCGGACGGGUGCGUAACACGUGGGUAAUCUACCUUCCGGCGGGGGACAACAGUCCGAAAGGAUUGCUAAUACCGCGUACGUCAGCGAGGUCUACGGAUCUUGUUGGGAAAGAUGGCCUCUCCUUGGAAGCUGUCACCGGAAGAUGAGCCCGCGGCCCAUCAGCUAGUGGUGAGGUAAUGGCUCACCAAGGCUUAGACGGGUAGCUGGUCUGAGAGGAUGAUCAGCCACACUGGGACUGCGACACGGCCCAGACUCCUACGGGAGGCAGCAGUGGGGAAUAUUGGGCAAUGGGCGCAAGCCUGACCCAGCCACGCUGCGUGAGUGAUGAAGGCCUUCGGUCGUAAG
rnacentral:rRNA from 1 species